UCGCCGGUUUUAAUAGCGACACCCCGCCCCUCGAGGCGUCACCCCGGUGGUUGGGUCGCUCCCCGCUGCGGCACGCGUGGGGGCGGUGGAGGCCGGAAGCCGGGAAUGCAGGUGACGGCCGAGCGGGGUAGCUGACAUCUCAACUUAAGGAGGCACCUAGAUGCCGGGACCAUGGAUGGCCUUCCUCCUAGGAAUGCUGGGAAUCCUUUCCUUCCUGAGGAGCCAGGCCUGGACACCCACACACCGUGAUGGUUUCAGCAAAGCAGCCCAGCAUGAGUUCUGACUCAGGGGUCUGACUUCCCCCCACAGGAACGGGAGUCUGUUCCCCUAGCCCUUGAAUCUGGGCUCACCUUGUGACUCACUUUGACCGACAGAACAUGGCAGAAGUGAUGUCGUGGUCCUUCAGAGGCCUUGAGCCUCUGCCUUCAUCCCCUCGCGCUGCCCUGAGUCUGUUAUGUAAGGGAAUUUACCAGCAGAGGAGGCCGCGUGGAGAACCGAGGAGUUCCAGCCAAUAGCCAUCUGAUCUCCCCACUCAGCGGACCUGCCAGCUGGAUCCAGCCACGUGAGUGAGCCCAGGUGAAAACAGAGAAAACAGCCAAGCUAAUUUUGGGGGUGAAUUGUGUGUGUCAAUGGAUAACUGAUAGGGUUUCCUAUUGCCCUUUGGAUGAAAAGAAUAUUCCAAAGUGCCCUAUGAGGUCCUGUAUGCCCUGAACCCACCCAUGUCUCUCAGCUGGCUUCCAUUCUCU